rnacentral:lncRNA from 1 species
GGAUAAUAAAGCAUUUCCCCCUUCACUGCCCCUCCCUUGUCUCCCAAUUUAUGAGUCUGGCAGGAACUGAUUAGCUUGUAAACUGUUCUGGUCUCCCUUGGAGAAAAACAUCUGAUGGAGGCGGUGAGGAUGGUUACAGUUUUCAGAAUUGAAGAUUUCAAAGCAAUGCUUCCCAAUACGUGGAAGUGAAGACUUUGUUACAUCUGGACUCAGAUGCCUGAGAACUAAAAGUCUUACAGAGACCUCAUCAUAGAAGAACUGUCCUGGAGGAAGAGGAAGGAGAAAGAGAAAAAAUGUUUUAUAUCCUGGGGGAAGCUCCUGAUUUUCAAGCUCUGCUCCAAGCUCUGGGCUGAAGUAGAGAGCAAUGAUUUUGUUGAGCAGGAUUACCUCUUUUAUGCUCAGUUAAUUAAAACAUUUUUCUGGAUGAUGCAAAAGUCUGCAAAGCCAUAAAGCCAUAGGGACUGUUAGUAAUUCUGGCCUAAUGUUACUCUUCCUAUAAUCAGUAACCUUCCCAGAAAUAAAUAUCCAGUUCAGUAAAAACCAUCCCCUUCUAGAAAGACAAGAAGGGGUACAUGGUCAAAAUCUCAUGAGGCUGAUUUGAAAGGACCCAAAGCCCUGUCCUCGGUUGUUUUAUGCCAGCAACCUCUGGUGCCCAUUUUGUGUAGGCAUUGUGUGACACACUCAUUUGAUUUUUACAGCACUUAAAGUUUGCAUUAAUUUGUGUUAUACUAGAUGCUAAAGUUUCA